rnacentral:rRNA from 1 species
UACGAAGGGGGGCUAGCGUUGCUCGGAAUCACUGGGCGUAAAGCGCACGUAGGCGGAUUGUUAAGUCAGGGGUGAAAUCCUGGAGCUCAACUCCAGAACUGCCUUUGAUACUGAAGAUCUUGAGUUCGGGAGAGGUGAGUGGAACUGCGAGUGUAGAGGUGAAAUUCGUAGAUAUUCGCAAGAACACCAGUGGCGAAGGCGGCUCACUGGCCCGAUACUGACGCUGAGGCACGAAAGCGUGGGGAGCAAACAGGG